UACAGAGGGUGCGAGCGUUAAUCGGAAUUACUGGGCGUAAAGCGCGCGUAGGCGGCUUUGCAAGUCGGGUGUGAAAUCCCCAGGCUUAACCUGGGAACUGCAUUCGAGACUGCAUGGCUAGAGUAUGGGAGAGGGAAGUGGAAUUUCAGGUGUAGCGGUGAAAUUCGUAGAUAUCGAGAAGAACACCGGUGGCGAAGGCGGCCAUCUGGACAGAUACUGACGCUGAGACGCGAAAGCGUGGGGAGCAAACAGG
rnacentral:rRNA from 1 species